AACUUCGAGCAUAAUUUCCAGAUUUUCUAUUCAAGAUAGUUCUUGAUAAGUUGGUUUAAAUCAUAGUUGGGUUAGCAAGAUAAAUUAUUUAGUGCCUCCAAUUAAUAGCUAAACUGUUUCUUAUGAGAACAAAGUUAUAUAUAUCAGUUUGAUAUACGUUGUAUACGAGAGUAUAUUAUAUUCUCCCCUCACAAGUGGUUC
rnacentral:lncRNA from 1 species